CCCCUCUUAGGGUCAUACCUGGAGAGUUUCCAGUACUCUACUGGUCUCAAUUACAGGAGGGAGAGUCAAGCAGAGGCAUACCCAUUCCAUUCCUAGCUUGGCCAGUGGCUAGUGAGCAGAAGGCAAUCUGCUACAUGU
rnacentral:snoRNA from 1 species